AGUUACCUUGAAACACAAGUAACUUACUAGUGUUUCCAAUACAGUCAGGAACAGUUGCAUUCUUAUGAUCUUAAAUUCAUGAUGUUAACUUUGGACUAACAUCUAAUAUUAUUUGAUCAAUAAAUUUGUUGUUGAUCCCAAGGAAACAUAUUUAAGCAAUAAAUUUAUUUUCGUUUUGAUUCUGGAAUGAGUUCAUAUAACAAAUUAAUGAUGCUGCUGUAUAUCACAGAAUUUGUUGAAAUAUAGAAAAAGGUAAAAAUGAUUUAACAAUAUCUUGUCAUAGCAUUCUCAUUGAGGGAACAUUUUGUUUCCAUAGGAAUGAUUGAUACAUGGAAGAAACAAAAUGAAAAAAAUAUUCAUGACAGAAAAAAAAAAUGGUUCUGUGCUAAUUAGCCUUAACUAAUCUAUCUAAGUCUGAUUAGCAUGAUUUACGGCUCAAUUCAAUCGAGAAGUGAGUUGUAAGAAAGAAUCUUCACUGCAAGGAAUUGUGAGACCACCCGUUGGAUGAUCGUAUCCAUCCAAAUUCUUCUUCUGCUUGAUUUAGUAAUUCUUGAAAUAAUGGUUGGUUCAAGUAUGAUACUGGAAUCACGAACCGUUUCAUUCUAUCUCCAACAUAGACUGCGAGAUAGCCUUUUGGGACUUCAAAUCCCUUGGUAGAUGCUUGCGUUGAGGAAAAUGAUGGCAUUCUGAUAAGUUUUGCUAUGCGGAAACCCAUUGUUUUUUUUUUUUUUUUUUUUUUUUUAUGGUUAGAGGAUUUGGAUGAGAAAGAAAUAUUUGAAUUCUGAUAAUUUAUGAUGCAAAAGACUUGUGUUACUUGAGACCCAAAGAGUAGUGUAUAAAUAGUUGCUAAGGGACUCUACAAACCAAUUAGCCAAUGAAAGUAUUUUGAUGAGCUGUGAUAGGGCCUAGUGAGGGACAAGAGAUCACAUGGUAUUGUCUUAUAGAAGUCAUUUUCAAGGAUUAGAUGAAGUUAAAUGGAAGAACAUGCAAAUACCCCACUUUGUAACACAAAGGAAAAAUUAAAGACAGUGGAUUGAUGAAAGAAACCUGAUGUUUUCUGCUAUAGCUAAUCCAAUGGUUGACAUCCAUUAGACAUCUCAUAUGUUUCUUCUAAUUGAUGUUAUAGCUAAUAUACAUCUACCAGCUAAAUACAUCUCAGAUUUGUGUGCAACUUGUUAGGCUUGUGUUGGAACAGUGUGAGGAGGAGAGAAGAGAACCGAUAUUGAACACAAGAACAUGAGCCACUAUGAACCACAUUUUAUAUUUUUGCAUGACAGACUCCACAAAAUUUGCAUACCAGAACAAAACUUUGCGAUCCCUGCCAUCCUAAUCAAAUAUGAAGGUCAAUUAAACUUUCUAUUCCAUGAAUAGGUCUGUUUUAUGGUAGGGUAGGCCUCUAAGACAAUACCAUGUGAUCUUAUAUAUGCUCUUGUCUCCUUGUAGAUUCCAUGACUCCAUCCUGAUCCUAUACUACAGUAUAUACUUCCACUAAUAAUUCAAGUAGCCAAUGGUUUCUCAAAAUUCUUUUAUCUAUAUAAAUUUUAUAGGUUAGAACCAUUUAGAACCAACUCUAAUCAUUCACAUCCUAAAAACAUUUGCAAUUUGAAAAACUUGGCUAUUGCUUUUAAUUUUUUUCUAAAACCACUUCUUCUAACUUUUUAACACAUACAACAAUGGGUAUCCGUUUCUCUGGUAUUAUCAGAAGGGCCUCAUUUUCUGCAAACCGAGCAAUAUCAAAAGCUGCGGACAUGCCAAAGAGAUAUCUUGCUGUAUAUGUUGGAUAGAAACAGACACGGCAUGUGAUCCGCAUAUCAUACUUGAACCAACCUUCAUUUCAAGAAUUGUUGAGUCAAGCCGAGGAAGAGUUUGGUUACAAUCAUCCCAUGGGUGGCCUCACCGUUCCUUGCACGGAAGAUGUUUUCCAACAUAUAACUUCUCACUUGAAUGGACUAUGAAUCAAACACCAAAAUAGACUAACGUAGUUUUAGUAGAGAUAAUUUUUUGUAAUCUAGUUAUCUUAUCAGAUUGUAAAGAUGAAAAAUGUCAUUAGAUUGACAAAUUUAUAGCAUAAAGACAUUUUUUAAUGACAAUGAAUUCGACUACUCAAACAUCUCCUUUGUGUUUUUGGUUUAUUGCACUUAAAAACUUAUGAAAUAUGACUAUAUGAGUAAUGUUGCUUGCUAUAAGAAAAUUAAGGGACUAGGUAUCCUGAAAAUUAAGGGAAUUUUUAUUUAUUUUUAAUUUAUUUUUAAUUUUUUUUAUAAACUACAUAACAUUUUCAAAGCUCUUCAUCAAUCAUUUGUGUACCAAAUGGUUUUCCAAACCACUCUUUAUCUAUAUAUAUUUAGAGAUGAUUAUGGUUGCUGUCAGAAACAAUUAACUUCCUCUAAUCAUAGCCUAAUAUUUUAAUUUUUUUCCUAGUUAUUUAUGUUAAACAUAUAAUGGGCGACAUUGUUAUUGAGUAGGGUGAUGGUUCGUAACUAAAUACUAAAUAUUCAUAAAUCUAAAACCUUUUUCCAUCGUUUAUAUUGUAGAUGUUUACAUAUAAUUUUUCAUUAUAUACGCACAAAAUGAUUCUAGUAACCUUGACACACAAGUAAUUUAUUGCAGCCUUUCCAAUAUACUGUCAAGAAAAGUUGCAUUUAUGAUCUUAAAUUCAUGAUGUUAACUUGGAGUGUCUUCUGGUAAUGUUUGAUCAAUAAAUUUGUGUUUCAACAUGAGGAGAUAUAUUUAUGCAAUAAAUUUAUUUUCUUUUUGAUUCUGGAAUGAAUUCAUAUAGCAAACUAAUGAUGCUGUAUAUAAUAGAAUUUGUUGAGAUUUAGAAUAAGCUAAAAAUGAUUUAACAAUAUCUUGUACCAACAUUCUCAUUGAGGGAACAUUUUGUUUCCGUAGGAAUGAGUGUUACAUGGCAGAAACAAAAUGAACAAAAUAUUCAAAACAGAUAAAAAAAAAAAAGCCUUCUAUGCAAAUUAGAAUGAACUAAUCUAUAUUAAUCUCUAUUAGCAUGAUAUCUACAGCUCAAUUCAUGCGAGAAGUGAGGUUUCGGAAUUCAUCCUCGCUGCACGGAAUGGUAAGACCACCCAUUGGAUGAUCAUAUCCAUAUUCUUCUUCAGAUUGAUUUAGCAAUUCUUGAAAUGAAGGUUGGUUCAAGUAUGAUACUGGAAUCACAAACCGCCUCAUUUGAUCUCCA
rnacentral:lncRNA from 1 species